UACGUAGGAGGCAAGCGUUAUCCGGAAUGACUGGGCGUAAAGGGUGCGUAGGUGGUCUGGUAAGUUGGUAGCGUAAUCCCGGGGCUCAACUUCGGUGCUACUACCAAAACUGCUGGACUUGAGUGCAGGAGGGGCAUAUGGAAUUCCUAGUGUAGCGGUGGAAUGCGUAGAUAUUAGGAGGAACACCAGUGGCGAAGGCGAUAUGCUGGACUGUAACUGACACUGAGGCACGAAAGCGUGGGGAGCAAACAGG
rnacentral:rRNA from 1 species